CCGUCUCUCUCACACAUUCCCCCCACCCCUCCUCGCCUCCCCUCCCUCCGCUGCAGCCGCGAUUCAAUCUGCUCUCCCGUCCCUUCCGCCGCUCGCCACUCCCCCCACGCCGCCACGCCGCUAGGGUUUCGCCUCGGGCCUCCGCUCCCCCCCUUCCGCGUCGCGCGAGCCACGCACCCGCCGCCCCGGCGGGCGUCCGUCCGCCCGCGGAGGCCGUCCCUGUCGCCGCUCGUUUCCUCGCUAGGCUAGGGUGCGGCGCCCGGCCGGCGCGCCGCGGGAGCAGCAGCCAUGUCGCAGACUAACUGGGAGGCGGACAAGAUGCUGGAUGUUUACAUAUAUGACUAUUUUAUGAAGAGAAAUUUGCAGGCAACUGCAAAGGCCUUCCAAGCAGAAGGAAAGGUCUCUUCAGAUCCAGUUGCAAUUGAUGCACCUGGUGGCUUUCUUUUCGAGUGGUGGUCGGUUUUUUGGGAUAUAUUCAUAGCACGAACAAACGAGAAGCAUUCGGAUGUUGCAGCGUCAUAUAUUGAGACUCAGCUCAUGAAAGCCAGGGAGCAACAGCAGCAACAGCCGCCUCAACAGAGGCAGCAGCAGCCACAGCAUAUACAAAUGCAACAAAUGCUGCUACAAAGAGCUGUGCAUCAGCAGCAGCAGCAGCAGCAACAGCAACAACAGCAGCAGCAGCAACAGCAGCAGCAGCAGCAGCAGCAGCAACCACAACAGCAGCAGCAGCAGCAACCUCAGCAGCUGCAACAGCAGCGUAGGGAUGGUUCCCAUCUCCUCAAUGGUUCUGCAAAUGGAAUUUCUGGAAACAAUCCUUUAAUGCGACAGAACCAAAGUACUGCAAAUGUUAUGGCAACAAAAAUGUAUGAGGAAAGGUUAAAGGUACCUUCACAGAGAGAAUCUUUGGAAGAGUCAUCAAUGAAGCAAAGAUAUGGAGAGAAUGCUGGGCAACUACUUGAUUCAAAUGAAGCAUCAUUGUUGAAAGCAGCUUCAAGCGGACAAUCUUCAGGGCAAAUUUUGCAUGGAACUGUUGGUGGCUUGUCAGGCACUCUGCAACAAGUUCAGGCCAGAAGUCCCCAACUUCCUGGGCCUGCUCAGCAGGGUAUCAAAACCGAGAUCAAUCAGAUUCUGACGCCCAGAGCUGCAGGCGCCGAAGGAUCAUUUAUUGGUGUCCAAGGAUCUAAUCAAGCUGGGAACAAUUUGACUUUGAAAGGAUGGCCACUCACGGGACUUGAGCAACUUAGGUCCGGAAUUCUUCAGCAGAAAUCAUUUAUACAGAAUCAACAGCAACUGCACCAGCAGAUCCAGAUGCUGACUCCACAGCAGCAGCAGCAGCUUAUGCUGCAGGCUCAGCAAAAUAUGUCUUCACCUACAUCUAGUGAUGUUGACAACAGAAGAUUGAGGAUGAUGCUAAACAGCAGAAAUGCUGUUCUUGGCCGGGAUGGGCAGACAAACAGUGGUACUGAUAUUAUUCCAAAUAUUGCCUCUCCUAGUCAAAGUGGUGGAGAUAUAGAUAUACUCAUAAAGAAGAAACUUGCUCAGCAGCAGCAACUAUUACAACAGCAAAGCAAUAGCCAACAGCAGCUGCAGCAACAUCAGCUCCAGCAACCUGCUGUCUCUAGCCAGCAAUCUCAAAGCUCAACUCAGCUUCUUCAACAAGAAAAGUCAGGAAUUGGAAGUAUGCCUGUUGACGGGGGCAUGCCAAACACUUUUGGGGGAGCUGAACAAACAGCGAAGAAGAGGAAGAAGCCAGGUUCAUCCUCUGGUAGAGCUAACAGUUCAGGGACAGCAAAUACCGCUGGCCCCUCUCCAAGUUCUGCACCCUCGACACCUUCCACUCAUACACCAGGAGAUGCAAUGUCUGUGCAACAGCUGCAGCACAAUGGUGGUUCAGCUAAACCCAUGGUAAUGUUUGGCUCUGAUGGCACUGGGAGCUUGACAUCUCCAGCAAACCCAUUGGAUGAUGUUGACCGUUUGCUGGAAGAUGGCUCCUUGGAUGAUAAUGUUGAAUCCUUUCUAUCACAGGAUGACAUGGAUCCUAGGGACAGCUUGGGGCGCUGCAUGGAUGCUAGUAAAGGGUUUGGUUUUUCUGAGGUUGCAAAAGCACGUGCGAGUUCAAACAAAGUUGUUUGUUGCCACUUCUCAUCUGAUGGCAAACUGCUUGCUACAGGUGGUCAUGAUAAAAAGGUUGUUUUGUGGGGUACAGAGCCCCUAAAGCCUAAAUCUUCGCUGGAAGAGCACGCGUCGCUGAUCACUGAUGUUAGAUUUAGCCCAAGCAUGUCACGCCUUGCUACAUCCUCCUUUGACAAAACUGUCCGGGUUUGGGAUGCUGAUAAUACUGACUAUUCACUCCGGACUUUCACGGGACAUUCAGCAUCUGUUAUGUCACUUGACUUUCAUCCAAAUAAAGAAGAUAUGAUAUGCUCCUGUGAUGGUGAUGGGGAAGUGCGCAGCUGGAGCAUAAAUAAUGGUAGCUGUCUGACCUGUGUUAAGGUGUUUAAGGGAGGUGCUACUCAGAUGAGAUUUCAACCUUGCAAGGGAAAAUAUCUAGCAGCUGCCUCGGAGAAGACUAUCUACAUACUUGAUGGGGAGACACAACAUGCUUGUAGAAAUCCCUUGCAGAGCUUGUUAUGUGUAGGGGCACAACAAGAAUAUUCAAUCGCUUUGUUGGGAUUCUGCUGGUGACUAUCUGGCUUCUGUCAGUGAAGACUCUGUCAGAAUAUGGUCAUUCACUUCUGGACAUGAUGGUGAAUUUGUGCAUGAGUUGAAUUGCAGCGGGAACAAAUUCCACUCAUGUGUUUUCCACCCAACUUAUCCAUCUUUGCUUGUAAUUGGUUGUUAUGAGUCUUUGGAACUUUGGGACAUAAGGGAGAAGAACACCAUGACCUUCAACAAUGCACAUGAGGGUAUGAUUGCAGCCCUAGCAGCAUCCAGCGCGACAGGGAAGGUUGCCUCAGUAAGCCAUGAUAGGUUUGUCAAGCUCUGGAAAUGACUUGUAUAAUAGCGACCGGUGUUGCCCGUGUCGACUUCUACGUUCUGGUUGUUAGAUGAUAGCGAAACAAGAACGGUUUUCUGCCUCAGAUGACCACAUGACGAAAAGGGUAGCUAACACGAUCUCUUGAGCCACUUGGGCUCAAGAACUAACAGUGUUUUGUUUUGUGGUUGUCGCUGUGUGCUGUUCAAUAUGCUUCUGAAACAUGUAGUUGUAAACUUGUAACUCCUUAUAGAAACGUUUGUUGAAGACUUCAAAUUUGUACCCAGUUCAAGUUUCAAACAGUUAUCUGCCUUGUUA